rnacentral:tRNA from 1 species
GCCUGGGUGGCGAAAUUGGUAGACGCACUACCUUGAGGUGGUAGCGCUGGAAACGGCGUGCUGGUUCGAAUCCAGUCUCAGGCA